rnacentral:lncRNA from 1 species
GUGUCUGAGGAGCUGACGUUCACUCGGCAGCCAGAACACAUGUCCCUGGACUACACGCUCCAGCACAACAUCCCCACGCUGCGGACGCUGUGGGUGGAGGACAGUCUGAGCCUGCAGGCCUCUGUGGGUGCUCCCAGCAGCGGCUCCAGCUUGGAGCAUUCCGCACGCAUCUCGGUGGGGCCCACGUCCCUGAACUACUCCGUUAGCUGCUGUCACCGUGCUGGGCACCUGGAGCUUUCUGGCUGGAGCUCGCACAACAGCGUGACCUUGUUGCGGGCUGGGGUCCCGGGCCAGGCCGGCCUCAGUGCCAAGCUGCAGACACACGAGACCCAGACCCAGGCCAGUGUGGCCCUCCACGGAGGGGACGGUGGUGUGAGCGCAGACGUGGCUGCCCUGGCGGCCUGGCCCACGAACUGGCACCCUGGAGCUGGUGGUGAACGCCAGCCACACGGCACCUGCCCUCCGGAGGCUGGGCCUGCCCUUUGCCAGCCAGCUCGUGUUCCAGAAGCUCUGGGCAGAGGGACGGGUGCGCUCUUCCCUACGGCUGACCUGUGACUCUCAAGCCAGCCUGGUCCUUGAUGUGCGUGGCCAGAGCCGGGCACUCAGCAAAGAGCUGCAGCUCUGGGGCCAGCACCACCUCCCCGGCCUCCUGGGCCGCUGCCCCAGCAGAGCCUCAGCCGCCGCCAAGGUAACUGUGCCCGGCACCCCUGAGCGCUAACUGCUUCCAGAUGCCCUGCCCGGGGCGGGAGGGGGCCGUGCAGGCCGGGGCCCCCU